rnacentral:lncRNA from 1 species
UUUUCAUGCACAAUUCACCUAAAACCAUAUCUACUCUCAACCUUAAUUCUCCUUUACAAACAAUAUUCUCAAUUAUCUUCUGUCAUCUUGUCUUGUAUCCUAAUUCCCAAGUAACAACAAUGAAGAUGAACAAGCAAACCUUGUUUGCCAUAAUCCUUGUAUGUUUUGCUCUAAUUGGCAAAUCUAUGUCCCAUGACAAGCCUUCAACACCAUCAUCGAAAAAGACAGAGUCACCAUCAUCAUCACCAAGUAAAAAAGUCUCUGACACUCCAGACAUAGAUUCUCCUUCUGAUUCACCAACUCAAGCACCAGAUAGUGAUGCAUCUGGUCGUUCUUCAUCUGUCUCUUUCACGAAAUACCUGAAAGAAAAAUAUGGAGACCAAUCAAAAACUAAAUACAACCCAACCCUUCAAAAGAUAUGUGGCAAAACACACGACAGUGAUGUGUGUCUAGCCACAAUCUC